rnacentral:rRNA from 1 species
UUAUAAGAGACAGCAGUAGCCGCGGGAAUACAGAGGGUGCGAGCGUUAAUCGGAUUUACUGGGCGUAAAGCGUGCGUAGGCGGCUUCUUAAGUCGGAUGUGAAAUCCCUGAGCUUAACUUAGGAAUUGCAUUCGAUACUGGGAAGCUAGAGUAUGGGAGAGGAUGGUAGAAUUCCAGGUGUAGCGGUGAAAUGCGUAGAGAUCUGGAGGAAUACCGAUGGCGAAGGCAGCCAUCUGGCCUAAUACUGACGCUGAGGUACGAAAGCAUGGGGAGCAAACAGGAUUAGAUACCCCAGUAGUCCCUGUCUCUUAUAC